rnacentral:tmRNA from 1 species
GGGGGCGUUUAUGGAUUCGACGGGGAUAGUUCGAGCAUGGGUAGCGGGUAGUAGGGCUGCGUCUGCUUCAUCAACGCGGAAAGCCAAUUAACUGGCAACCAAAACCAAAAACUCGCUUUCGCAGCUUAAAAACCUGUGACGCGGCUUCUACCCUCCAUCGCCCAUGUGGCGGGAUAGGGGCUCAACCUUAGUGGGAUACGCUGUCUAGUCUCCGCCUGGGGCUAGCUGAAGAAGAUAAUCAGGCUGACCCGAAGGGAAUCCGGUGACGGGGAGUCUCUAGGGUGACAUCAAAUCUGUCACUACACCCGUAGAAGCCUAUGUGGCGUUGUCUUCGGACAGGGGUUCGACUCCCCUCGCCUCCACCA